GAGAGAGACAUGCGCGCAUAUCAAUAAGCGGAGGAAAAGAAACUAACUAGGAUUCCCUCAGUAACGGCGAGUGAAGCGGGGGGAAGAGCUCAAAUUUGAAAUCUUCAAGGUUUUACCUUGACGAAUUGUAGUUUAAAGAAGUGUUUUCUGUUGGAGUUUUGGUAAAAGUUCUUUGGAAUAGGACAUCAUAGAGGGUGAGAAUCCCGUAUUUGACCAUUACUUUCCAACUUUGUGAUACACUUUCAAAGAGUCGGAUUGUUUGGGAAUGCAGUCCAAAAUGGGUGGUAAAUUUCAUCUAAAGCUAAAUACUGGCGAGAGACCGAUAGCGAACAAGUACCGUGAGGGAAAGAUGAAAAGAACUUUGAAAAGAGAGUUAAACAGUACGUGAAAUUGUCAAAAGGGAAGCGUUUGACACCAGUGUUGUUUUUCUGAAAAUCAAUUAAAGAACUGUUUAUGCUAAGCUGUUUAGACUUUAUCAGCUAUCUGUUUAGUUUUGAGCUUUUCUCUAAUGCACUUUUCAGUUAACAAGUCAACAUCAAUUUCUUUUGCUGUAAAAAAGCUUGAGGAAGGUGGCUUGAGAUUCGUCUUAAGUGUUUAUAGCCUCUUGCCUAUGCAGUCGGAGAGAUUGAGGUCUGCAGCGUAGAUCCUUCGGGGCUAAAUGCAUUUGUGCUAAGUUAUAGCAUUUUAUAGACAACUUGUUGACUAUGAUUUGUCUUGUAGCUUACUCGCUUAUGUUAUUUUACCUACGCUUAGGAUGUUGAUGUGAUACUGCGAGCA
rnacentral:rRNA from 1 species